rnacentral:rRNA from 1 species
ACCUUUGACAUGUACGGAAUCCUUUAGAGAUAGAGGAGUGCUCGAAAGAGAGCCGUAACACAGGUGCUGCAUGGCUGUCGUCAGCUCGUGUCGUGAGAUGUUGGGUUAAGUCCCGCAACGAGCGCAACCCUUGUCAUUAGUUGCUACAUUCAGUUGGGCACUCUAAUGAGACUACCGGUGACAAACCGGAGGAAGGUGGGGAUGACGUCAAGUCCUCAUGGCCCUUAUAGGUGGGGCUACACACGUCAUACAAUGGAUGGUACAAAGGGUCGCCAACCCGCGAGGGGGAGCCAAUCCCAUAAAGCCAUUCGUAGUCCGGAUCGCAGUCUGCAACUCGACUGCGUGAAGUCGGAAUCGCUAGUAAUCGUGGAUCAGAAUGUCACGGUGAAUACGUUCCCGGGUCUU